UCCAACAGAAGCGCCAAUUUAUGAUUAUCACCGAUGUACCUAGGGGACAUGUGGUUGUCACUGGAUCGUUAUCCGGCUUUCGUCAUGAGUCAGAUCGUGGGGAUGCUUGGAUCAGGGUAUUUAGGAUCAAUACAUCUCACAUAGCAAGAGAGUGCAUUGUAAUUCAUCGUCACCGCCAUCGGCGACGACGUCAUAAGCAUAGCCGCAUCAUAUCAUCACGCUCUGCGACGUACCCAAACUCAUGCUCAGUUUAAAAAUAUAAUCACUUACAUACGUA